AUUGAACGCUGGCGGCAGGCUUAACACAUGCAAGUCGAGCGGGGUGAUGGUGCUUGCACUAUCACUUAGCGGCGGACGGGUGUGUAAUGCUUAGGAAUCUGCCUAUUAGUGGGGGACAACAUCUCGAAAGGGAUGCUAAUACCGCAUACAUCCUACGGGAGAAAGCAGGGGAUCACUUGUGACCUUGCGCUAAUAGAUGAGCCUAAGUCGGAUUAGCUAGUUGGUGGGGUAAAGGCCUACCAAGGCGACGAUCUGUAGCGGGUCUGAGAGGAUGAUCCGCCACACUGGGACUGAGACACGGCCCAGACUCCUACGGGAGGCAGCAGUGGGGAAUAUUGGACAAUGGGGGGAACCCUGAUCCAGCCAUGCCGCGUGUGUGAAGAAGGCCUUAUGGUUGUAAAGCACUUUAAGCGAGGAGGAGGCUCUUUUGGUUAAUACCCAAGAUGAGUGGACGUUACUCGCAGAAUAAGCACCGGCUAACUCUGUGCCAGCAGCCGCGGUAA
rnacentral:rRNA from 1 species